GUGCCAGCAGCCGCGGUAAUACGAAGGUCCCAAGCGUUAUCCGGAUUUAUUGGGUUUAAAGGGUGCGUAGGCGGCUUAUUAAGUCAGUGGUGAAAGCCCCAAGCUUAACUUGGGAACUGCCAUUGAUACUGAUGAGCUUGAGUAGAUUUGAGGCGGGCGGAAUGUGUCGUGUAGCGGUGAAAUGCUUAGAUAUGACACAGAACACCAAUUGCGUAGGCAGCUCGCUAAACUCUUACUGACGCUGAGGCACGAAAGCAUGGGGAUCAAACAGGAUUAGAUACCCUGGUAGUCC
rnacentral:rRNA from 1 species